ACAAAAGCACAAUUUUAUUUAAAAAAAUAACAAAAAAUGAACAAAAGGAGAAAACUCGUUCCACAGCCUUGCCCAUUACAGACUCGAGUUCAGAAAAAGGGUACACACCACAGGGGCACGGUCCAUAUCUCACCAGUGAGAGGGGGGUCAAAGUUGAAACCCCGAGUACGGGCCGUUUCCUCUCCCUCCUGGGACUGCAAAGCAUGAGGCGGAUGUUGUUUACUGGUUGCCAAGUUUCCUGGCCUCCCUCUGGGCAGGAGGGAAGCUGGCUCACUUUUAGAGCCUCAGCUAGUCAAGGUGAUUUAAACUGCCCAAAGUCCAAAGCAUUACGGGCCAGGCCUGGCUCCUUGUUCCUGCAGCUCCUGCCUUUCAUUCAGCUCCUAAUAAAGAUGACAGCACUUGUAUUUCUGUGUUUUCAGGAGGUUGUUAUCGUGUCCUUGGGAGCUGAUUUACAGGUUAACCUUGUGUGCUGGAGGCUGCUUUUGCUGGUUGCAGCCCCUGCAAGAAAGCCCAGACUGGACCCAGGCCAGCUCCUCAGAGUCGGUUCCAUUUCUCCGAAACUACAUGUGUUUGUGAAAGGACAGCUAAUUGUGUCACUGCAUAUUGGUUUUUGAUUCAAGGAAACCAGGUCCUGGAAAAACGGGCAGAUGGAUCUCCUCUCGUUCCAGAGGCUGGUAGCCCAGACUCUCCUCCAGCGCCAUGGAACAAAGCCAAGUAGGCAAGGCAGAAAAUCUGCAAUGGCGGUGGCGAUACCUGAUGUCACCAGGUUUGACAGCUUGAAUCACUGGCCCAGCAACAUUAGUAGCAGGUACAAGUAGUGCAAGAGCUGUGGUGGACGCACACCAUUUGCGUGCGAAAAAUGUGAUGUGCCACUACAUGUGGAGUGCUUCAAAAAGCACCACACUGAGUAGUACAUCCAUACCAAAUGAUGGAUUGUGUGGGAACUAUGUCAUAUACAUAAAUAUGUGUUA